GUUUUCUAGUGGCAUAUUUUGUGUGUACACAGUUGAAAGUUGUCAGAAAUGACAAUCAAGUACCUAAACUGCUUUACCUCACCACGACAAAUGAGAGUGGAGUGUUUAUUACUGGUCAUAGAGGCCAGCCGUAUACGUAUGAUGCCAAGGUAAAAAACUUUAUUCAAUGGAUUAGAACAAAGUCCGAUUCCGGGGAACAGAAGAAUAUGGUUAUUGGUGGAUAUUACCCCUAUCCACCAGUGCCAGAGACAUUUUCCAAGUAUAGUAGUUCUAUUAAAGUUGAGUCGCUCUUGACAGCUAUAAGUGAAGUCAGGAAGGAGAUUGAAGACUUGCA
rnacentral:lncRNA from 1 species